rnacentral:rRNA from 1 species
UACAGAGGUCUCAAGCGUUGUUCGGAUUCAUUGGGCGUAAAGGGUGCGUAGGUGGCGCCAUAAGUCAGGUGUGAAAUCCCGGGGCUCAACCCCGAAACUGCACUUGAUACUGUGGUGCUCGAGUACUGGAGAGGAGAUUGGAAUUUACGGUGUAGCAGUGAAAUGCGUAGAUAUCGUAAGGAAGACCAGUGGCGAAGGCGAAUCUCUGGACAGUUACUGACACUGAGGCACGAAGGCCAGGGGAGCAAACGGG